UGCUGGUAUCCACACAGAAAUAUCUUAGUCAAAACUUCAAAAUCUUUGGGAUGUUCAUUCUCUUGUAGGCUUCGUUCCUUGGCUUGAAUCAGGCCACUUUACUUAAUAUCACUUGAAGCAGCCCUAUAUAGGAUCUUGAGGAUUAAUCCUAACCAUCAAGAAAAAUCAAGAAAUCUUUUCUUGAUUUUCUUUUUCUCUC
rnacentral:lncRNA from 1 species